rnacentral:rRNA from 1 species
GACGAACGCUGGCGGCGUGCUUAACACAUGCAAGUCGAACGGAAAGGCCCUGCUUUUGUGGGGUGCUCGAGUGGCGAACGGGUGAGUAACACGUGAGUAACCUGCCCUUGACUUUGGGAUAACUUCAGGAAACUGGGGCUAAUACCGGAUAGGAGCUCCUGCUGCAUGGUGGGGGUUGGAAAGUUUCGGCGGUUGGGGAUGGACUCGCGGCUUAUCAGCUUGUUGGUGGGGUAGUGGCUUACCAAGGCUUUGACGGGUAGCCGGCCUGAGAGGGUGACCGGCCACAUUGGGACUGAGAUACGGCCCAGACUCCUACGGGAGGCAGCAGUGGGGAAUAUUGCACAAUGGGCGGAAGCCUGAUGCAGCAACGCCGCGUGCGGGAUGACGGCCUUCGGGAUGUAACCGCUUUCGCCUGUGACGAAGCGUGAGUGACGGUAAUGGGUAAAGAAGCACCGGCUAACUACGUG